CUGCACGAUGCUAACCCUAGGCUCGUCAGGUUUUUUUAAGAAGGAAGCCCCAAUUCCUGUGCUAGAUCCACCAUGCCAUUCAAUGUUGCAGAUCAUGACGAAUCUUGUGAUUGGUUUGUGUCAAAGCAAUGGAUACACAU
rfam:Zea mays cultivar B73 chromosome 2, whole genome shotgun sequence.